UGAUCCAACUUGAGCAUAAAUCUCCAGCCGAAUGACAGUGUAACAGGUGAGUUUGGAAGCAUAACAUCUUCAAUGCUGAAUAAAGUCCUGUCUCAAGCAAUUUACCACCUCCUCUACUUGGGUCAGUUCACAUCCUGCUCUCUCUCUCUCUUUCUCUCUCUCUCUCUCUCUCUCUCCAUUUCUCUUGUCUCUUGCAUUUUCUUCUUCUCUUUCUAACCUCACACAUAGGAAAUUGGAUGGAAACAUCUGUCAGUGGCUGUAAAAAGGCCGUGAGAAGAAAUUUCUGAAUCUUUGGGGAAAACGGAGAGGCUGCCUGAUGUUGGAUGUUAUGGAUCUCUGGCAAAGGCUGGUGUGAUGUUGUGUUCAAUCAUCUGGAGUUCUAGAAUUGAAUUUGGAAUGUUGAAGAGGUCACAUGCUUGGCCAGUGUUCCAUCUCCCCCUUUGGCCUUCAGCUGGGCGGAUCUACACUUCACAGUGUUCUCAUCAACUGGAGGUCACCUGUCCACAUAUGAAGGUGAGGAAGAUGAUGGUGUCAGAAUCCAAUAUUUGCUUUAUCAGCAGCUUGUGUUUGUUUAUCUGAGGCAAAGAUCAGAGAACGGCCGAUCACAGCCAAACAUCAACAAUGUCAGCCAAUAUCUGAUAAGAAGAACAUGGCAGAGGACACAGCAAAGAACUCACUGACACAAACACCCAAAAGCAGGUGUAGGUGUGUGUGUAUCAAAUCAAUGGCGUGCUGAACAGUAGUUCCUGAAGAGAUUCACACUCUGAAAAGUGAGACCUGGGUAACUGUGCUAUCCGCACCUUGUUUUACAAAGUGAGAAUUGGGGAAUGUGUGUCUGCGUGACACCAGGUUGCAUGUUCACACGUUAACUUUCAGUCUCCUUCAGAGAAAUAUCCCAGAGUUUCCUUCAUAACCUUCAGAGAAUGAUGAGGAAUGAUCUUGAGGUCUGGCCGGAAAGAGAAAGAGAGGGAAAACCUGUCGGCCCCAGCAGAUGGGGGUUAGGGUUCUCCAGUUUAUUCUAUUUCAAACAGGUAAUGGGCUGUGAAAUGAAUAACAGUAAGCAUUUUUCUUCAGUGUGAUGACAGUUUCAAUCAAAAUAUGGACAUGGAAAUUAGUGUGAAUGCUUGUUGGUUUCUCUUGCAUCUGUCAGUGUGUGUACGUGAGCUGCAUUAUUAAUUCUGCAUCAUUUUAGCCUACUGCGAUUUAGGAGGCACUUCCGGUUUGGGAAGUUUCCGCUGAAAAAUUCUAAUAAUUUCAAACCAAAAAAUUGUGCAACAAAUAAUCCUUAACCAUCAGUUUGACUGAAUGAGCUUUUCUUCUUAUUCUGUAACAAUAUGAAAAAUAAUAAUAUUCUAUUGCAAUAAUAAUAUUGCUAUGAAAAUAAAAGUAUUUAGAAAGUAAUUUGUUAAUGCUACUCCACAUUUCCUUUAAAUGUUUGAUGUUUGAAGGUAUGAGUCUAAUAAUGU